AUCCAACUGAGGAGUCCCAAGUAGGACGAAAUGAGAGUUCUGGAU
rfam:Schistosoma mansoni strain Puerto Rico chromosome 3, complete genome